CCUACGGGAGGCAGCAGUGGGGGAUAUUGCACAAUGGGGGGAACCCUGAUGCAGCGACGCCGCGUGGGUGAAGGAGUGCUUCGGCAUGUAAAGCCCUAUCGGCAGGGAAGAAGCAAGACGGUACCUGACUAAGAAGCCCCGGCUAACUACGUGCCAGCAGCCGCGGUAAUACGUAGGGGGCGAGCGUUAUCCGGAUUCACUGGGUGGAAAGGGAGCGUAGACGGCCAUGCAAGCCAGGGGUGAAAGCCCGGGGCCCAACCCCGGGACUGCCCUUGAAACUGCAUGGCUGGAGUGCGGGAGGGGCAGGCGGAAUUCCUGGUGUAGCGGUGAAAUGCGUAGAUAUCAGGAGGAACCCCGGCGGCGAAGGCGGCCUGCUGGACCGCGACUGACGUUGAGGCUCGAAAGCGUGGGGAGCGAACAGGAUUAGAUACCCCAGUAGUC
rnacentral:rRNA from 1 species